AUUGAACGCUGGCGGCAUGCCUUACACAUGCAAGUCGAACGGUAACAGGUCUUCGGAUGCUGACGAGUGGCGAACGGGUGAGUAAUGCAUCGGAACGUGCCCAGUUGUGGGGGAUAACUGCUCGAAAGAGCAGCUAAUACCGCAUACGACCUGAGGGUGAAGGUGGGGGAUCGCAAGACCUCGUGCGAUUGGAGCGGCCGAUAUCAGAUUAGGUAGUUGGUGGGGUAAAGGCCUACCAAGCCUACGAUCUGUAGCUGGUCUGAGAGGACGACCAGCCACACUGGGACUGAGACACGGCCCAGACUCCUACGGGAGGCAGCAGUGGGGAAUUUUGGACAAUGGACGCAAGUCUGAUCCAGCCAUGCCGCGUGCGGGAAGAAGGCCUUCGGGUUGUAAACCGCUUUUGUCAGGGAAGAAAAGGUUCUGGCUAAUACCUGGGACUCAUGACGGUACCUGAAGAAUAAGCACCGGCUAACUACGUGCCAGCAGCCGCCGCGGUAA
rnacentral:rRNA from 1 species